rnacentral:rRNA from 1 species
CAGUCGAACGAACUCUGGUAUUGAUUGGUGCUUGCUCAUGAUUUACAUUUGAGUGAGUGGCGAACUGGUGAGUAACACGUGGGAAACCUGCCCAGAAGCGGGGGAUAACACCUGGAAACAGAUGCUAAUACCGCAUAACAACUUGGACCGCAUGGUCCGAGCUUGAAAGAUGGCUUCGGCUAUCACUUUUGGAUGGUCCCGCGGCGUAUUAGCUAGAUGGUGAGGUAACGGCUCACCAUGGCAAUGAUACGUAGCCGACCUGAGAGGGUAAUCGGCCACAUUGGGACUGAGACACGGCCCAAACUCCUACGGGAGGCAGCAGUAGGGAAUCUUCCACAAUGGACGAAAGUCUGAUGGAGCAACGCCGCGUGAGUGAAGAAGGGUUUCGGCUCGUAAAACUCUGUUGUUAAAGAAGAACAUAUCUGAGAGUAACUGUUCAGGUAUUGACGGUAUUUAACCAGAAAGCCACGGCUAACUACGUGCCAGCAGCCGCGGUAAUACGUAGGUGGCAAGCGUUGUCCGGAUUUAUUGGGCGUAAAGCGAGCGCAGGCGGUUUUUUAAGUCUGAUGUGAAAGCCUUCGGCUCAACCGAAGAAGUGCAUCGGAAACUGGGAAACUUGAGUGCAGAAGAGGACAGUGGAACUCCAUGUGUAGCGGUGAAAUGCGUAGAUAUAUGGAAGAACACCAGUGGCGAAGGCGGCUGUCUGGUCUGUAACUGACGCUGAGGCUCGAAAGUAUGGGUAGCAAACAGGAUUAGAUACCCUGGUAGUCCAUACCGUAAACGAUGAAUGCUAAGUGUUGGAGGGUUUCCGCCCUUCAGUGCUGCAGCUAACGCAUUAAGCAUUCCGCCUGGGGAGUACGGCCGCAAGGCUGAAACUCAAAGGAAUUGACGGGGGCCCGCACAAGCGGUGGAGCAUGUGGUUUAAUUCGAAGCUACGCGAAGAACCUUACCAGGUCUUGACAUACUAUGCAAAUCUAAGAGAUUAGACGUUCCCUUCGGGGACAUGGAUACAGGUGGUGCAUGGUUGUCGUCAGCUCGUGUCGUGAGAUGUUGGGUUAAGUCCCGCAACGAGCGCAACCCUUAUUAUCAGUUGCCAGCAUUAAGUUGGGCACUCUGGUGAGACUGCCGGUGACAAACCGGAGGAAGGUGGGGAUGACGUCAAAUCAUCAUGCCCCUUAUGACCUGGGCUACACACGUGCUACAAUGGAUGGUACAACGAGUUGCGAACUCGCGAGAGUAAGCUAAUCUCUUAAAGCCAUUCUCAGUUCGGAUUGUAGGCUGCAACUCGCCUACAUGAAGUCGGAAUCGCUAGUAAUCGCGGAUCAGCAUGCCGCGGUGAAUACGUUCCCGGGCCUUGUACACACCGCCCGUCACACCAUGAGAGUUUGUAACACCCAAAGUCGGUGGGGUAACCUU